CCUACGGGAGGCAGCAGUAGGGAAUUUUCCACAAUGGGCGAAAGCCUGAUGGAGCAAUACCGCGUGCAGGAUGAAGGCCUUCGGGUCGUAAACUGCUUUUAUGUGCGAAGAAUUUGACGGUAACACAUGAAUAAGGAUCGGCUAACUACGUGCCAGCAGCCGCGGUCAUACGUAGGAUCCAAGCGUUAUCCGGAAUUACUGGGCGUAAAGAGUUGCGUAGGUGGCAUUAUAAGUGGAGCGUGAAAGCGUGCGGCUCAACCGCAUUAUUGCGUUCCAAACUGUGAAGCUUGAGUAUGGGAGAGGUAGAUGGAAUUUCUAGUGUAGGAGUGAAAUCCGUAGAUAUUAGAAGGAACACCGAUGGCGUAGGCAGUCUACUGGCCCAUUACUGACACUAAGGCACGAAAGCGUGGGGAGCAAACGGGAUUAGAUACCCCGGUAGUCCACGCUGUAAACUAUGGAUGCUAGCUGUGACACACAUCGACCUGUGUCGUAGCGAAAGUUAACGCGUUAAAGCAUCCCGCCUGGGGAGUACGGUCGCAAGAAUUAAAACUUAAAGGAAAUUGACGGCUUGAGAGNGCGAGAGACACGAGGAGAGG
rnacentral:rRNA from 1 species